GGGUCUUCGAUGCUUCUUAUCCUUUCUAUGAUUCGUUCUCGUGUCCAUUCAUCGACGGCGAGUUUGACUGCCUCAAGUUCGGUCGACCAGACAAACAGUUCCUCAAGUACUCAUGGCAACCUGAAUCUUGCACCAUCCCAAGGUUUCUAUUUAACUAUUCCCUUAUAUGUCCAACGUUUUUAACGAAACAAUAAAAUUGAGCUAACCAUAUAGUUAACAAAAAUUUGAUUGGUGGGUAUGUAUAAAAUUUCAUUCCAUGCAUUGUUUAUAACCUUUUUUCUAUUUAGUACGAAUUUGUUUAGCUAAAAAAUUAUAAGUUGAAUAAACGUAAUUUCCUAUGUCGUACGUUAUGUUUUGUAAACUUAUUAGAAGUUAGUGUUGAUAUGUAUAUAUGUACUUUGUUUGGUAAACCGUAAACGUGGUUGUAGAGCACCGCAUUGAAGAUAUUCUCUUCACAAUGAAAACGAGUAUUUACAUUAAUGUUAUACAUAAAAGAAGUUAUCAAGUGGAUUGUUUUGUAAGAAUUGUCUAAAGUGGCAACAAGCUGUGAUAAAUUAUAGUAAAGUAUAAAUGCAUGAUGAUGAUCAAUGUUAAUUACUUAAUUUUGUUUAAUCACGUAAUUAGAUUCGACGGUGCGGCGUUUCUGAGGAGAUUGAGAGGGAAGCGAGUCAUGUUCGUGGGAGACUCACUGAGUCUGAACAUGUGGGAAUCGUUGGGUUGUAUGAUACAUGCGUCGGUACCAAAAACCAAGACAACUUUUGUUAAGGGAACCCCACUCUCUACUAUCACUUUCCAGGUCUCUUUCUUUUCUUAAAUAAAAUUAUAAAACUGUGUUCUCCGGAUAAAUACAAAUCUAGUUAUCAAUCCUCACGAGGAAUAGUUGUCAUUAACGAAAAUGAAUUGGCUUGUCAUAAAUACUGAAUGCUUAUUAGUCACGGACUAUUUAAUAUAUUCGUAUUUAGAAAAGAGAUGAAAAGGCUGUAUGGUGCUAAUAAUGCUUAUUAUCAUAUUGUUGCUAGUGUUCGAUCACACCCACUUGCCUACAUCCCUUUAAAGUUUAUUUGAUUUUCAGUCUACAAUUCUACAUUAUGAGAAAAGUGACACAUACAUGAGUAUUAAUACGUCUAGAAGAAGAUAUUUGAUAGAAACAUAUAAAGUUUUCCAUUUAGUGAAAAUUUUGAUUUGUUAUUGUUCAUUCGAAAGCUAUUUUUCAUUUUAACCAUAAAUGUGCAAAGUUCUCUGUCAUUCAUGAAACCAAAAACAAUGUGAAAUGACAUGUCUUCUUCACUUGAUGUGGACCUCCAAACUUUUUUCUUUUAUUUGUUUAAAAUUUAAAUAAUGUUUACUUUUUAUGUAUUUACCACUGUGCCAAAAUUUUGUUUUUAUAUUCUUGAUACCAUAGAUAAUAAUAAAAACAAAUAUAAAGGACGUAAUACGUAAAGGAAGUACACUAACAACAACUCCAACAGUCCAGCUUGUUCUUUACUUUUCCCUCUGACAAUUUUCUACUGUUCUCUUUGUUCUGCAAAACCUUUUUUUCCUUUCAUUUAAUAAUUUUCUUAUUUUUAAUGGAAAUAGAUAUUUUGAAAACCCCUGAUUUUAUUUCAUUUUAUGAAAAACAGGAAUAUGGAGUGACGUUACACCUAUAUAGAACAACAUACAUAGUGGAUAUAUCCAAAGAGAAAAUAGGGCGUGUGCUUAACCUUGGAGCCAUUGAUGGAGGUGCUGAUGCUUGGAAAAACAUGGACGUCCUUGUCUUUAACUCUUGGCAUUGGUGGACUCACAAAGGCCAAUCUCAAGGGUCAGUACCAAUGAUUAACCACAUCUUUAAUUUAAACCCAAUAUAUAUUAUCCUUUGUACAACUUAAUGUUGAAUCUUUCUUCUUCUUUUUUCUUGAUGUUUAAUUUAAAUUUAGGUGGGAUUAUAUUAGAGUUGGGUCUUCUUUGGUAAGAGACAUGAACCGUCUUGACGCUUUCUACAAAGGACUUACCACUUGGGGUCGAUGGGUUGAUCAAAACGUCGAUACCACCAAGACCAAAGUUUUCUUCCAAGGCAUUUCUCCCACUCACUACGAGUAAGUCCAAUUACAUUGCGACUGUUGCCAAACGUUAUUUUGCGUAUUCGUUAUGUAAAAUGCACACGCAAAACACAAACAAACAAUCAAGAUGCAUUUGUGUAUUUUACCAAAAAAAAAAAGAUGCAUUUGUGUACAAUUAUCUAUGGUUUGAGAAAAUAGCGUUCAAACACAAACUAAAUCGGUUUUGUGUUUCUUGUGGAUGACAGGGGACGAGAAUGGAACGAGCCGAGAAAGAGUUGUAAUGGGCAAAUGCAGCCGUUGGAUGGAUCAAAUUACCCAAGUGGCCAGCCUCCAUCUGCAGGAGUUGUGUCCAAAGUGUUGAGUUCGAUGAAAAAACGUGUGUUCUUGCUAGAUAUCACCACUUUGUCUCAGCUGAGAAAAGAUGCUCAUCCUUCUACUUACGGUGGCGAUGGAGGAAAUGAUUGCAGCCAUUGGUGCCUCCCCGGGUUGCCUGAUACUUGGAACCAACUUCUCUACGCAGCACUUUCCAUGUGAAUUGAGUAAAGUGCAAACACACACCUUCAUUCUGUAAAUUACAUUCUUGGAGGUGCAAAGAAUCUGACAGUUUGCGUUGGGUGAAGGGUUAAGUGAAGACUAGAGACAUAAAGAAGAUGGAUUGUAAAGCGCCUUUAUAUUAUUUUGUAUGGGAGAAGCAAUAAUCUCAAAUUGUCUAGUGUUGUGUGACUAUAUAGAAACAUACUCAAUAAUAAUACACUAUUUUGGUAACUCUUGGCUUACUUUGAUUUGAAGAGCGAAGCUGUACUUAUGUAGAUCUCCAUUGAAAUAGAUUUGUGUAGACUUUUGACAUUCUCAUUAACAACACUAAUAUCGUAUCAAUGUACCAUGAACAUAUGUAAACUCACAUUCAAAAGCUACCUGAAGAGGAGUGCCAUACACUUAUAUUACUCACAUUCUCACUCAAUUCUCCACGUGGGAUCCUAACAGACCCUCUCACAUUCGGAUCUAGACAUCAGAACGUGAAGUUUGUGACACUAGAUAUCCAUCCACAUGUGGGCCACAGUCCGAGAAACUGAAAGUGAUGGCAUAACCACUUCCCAAACUACCUCAAAAGUGAAGAAUGUCACACACUCAACUCUAGUCUCCAUGUACGGUUCUAAUAACACGAAUCUAACCAAUAACAGUACUCUUACAUGAUAUUCAAUUGUACAAGAAGACCAUGGCGUCUAGAAUUACAGAAGAAAAAAAACUUGAUCUUGAAGAGCCCUAGAGGAGAGCAAUUUGAGAAUUCAAUUGAAAUCACCUCAAGGGAAAUUGAAUCCCUUUUCGAUGAGGAUCUGCACGCAGCUCGUCUUCUUCUCCUUCUUCUCAAUCUCUCUAUCUUCUUCUUCCUCAUCAGUCCUCCUCGAGUUCAGAACAAUGGCUUUCACAACAUCCCUCAAAGGAAUCUUAAGCUUCUUCGCCGGAGACUCCAAUCUUGAAGAUGAUGGCAAGAGAUUAGCCGAUUUCUCCAAAGGAAUUGAAUCAACAGGAGCCGUACGAUCCUCCUCUGAAUCAACGGUAUCAGGGCUUUCUGGGGGAGAGACUAAUCGAACCGCGUGGCUCUCCACCUCGUAACCCACCGAACCGUUCACACUAUCAGAAUCAUCGGAAUCUCGGCGAGGCGCGGUUCCGGCGUUUAACGGCGAGGCUCCGAGGACGGAGGGAUCGGAGUCUGGAGGAACGCCUCGUUGAGCGAAGCCGCAGCUCCGGAGGAAAAUCUCCUGAGACGCGGUUUCGUGGCAGUAAUCGAAGAAGGAACUGAUCUUGUUGUUGUUGUUGUUUCCUUCCAUCGUCUCUCUCUCUCUCUCUGCAAACGAACUGUUGUCUCGCAGGGAGGGAUGCUUCGAUUUACAACUUUCUAGGGUUUAAGGAGGGAAUGCUUUUUCCCGCUCACUUUAGUUUCGAGGCGGUCUGCUACCAAACGCGUUUAUUCAUUGAACGCACACCAAACGCUUUCAUUCCAUGUAAUACUCGAACUGAAAUCAGCCAAAAAAACAUUUUUCCAGUUGGGUUUAGAUCUGAACAUUUUACGGUAGGUUAUAUUACUCGGGUUAUAUAUUUGUGACUAUUCAGAUAUAGUUUCUAUUAUUCUUAAUAUUAUUUUAGGUUUUAUUUCCAGUUUUUCAGGUACAUUUUAUAUCUUAAAUGUUUUUAAGAGUUUAAAUAAAUUUUAGAUAUUCAAAUACAUUUCUAGCAUUAUGGGUUCUAAACACCCGAAACUAAUCUGAUAAAAAAAAGUUAGGAUAUUAGCGGUUCUAAAAAUUGAAACCCAAAUCAAGAACAACCUUGAAAGCCAAUCAAAACACAUGCAUAUCCCAUAUGAGUCCAAAACUCUGACUGGCAUUUUCAAACUAUACUUUAUUUUUCAUUCUAAAAUAAAAUUUAGAUUCUUUAGAAGAAAAAUAUUCUAAUAGUACUUUAUUUUUUGCUCUAUAAUAGAGUAAAAAGUGAGUUUAUUCUAUAUAUAGAAAAAAAUGUUUUUAUUUGUUUAUUGCUCUAAUUUUUACUAUAAAAUAAAAUACUAUUGGAAUAUAAUUCAACUCUAUUAUAGAAUUAAUCUAUUUUAGAGUGAAAAAUAAAGUAAACCAUUGGAAAUGGUUUUAAAUCCAAAAAACUUAGAUCCGAUUAGAUUAGAACCGACUCAGACUUGAUCCAAAAAACCUAAAUGUCCAGGCGUGGCUAAGACUGAAACAUUUGUUUCUAUGAUUCAAUGUUUAAACUGAAAUUGAGAUAGUGAGAAACAAACUUUUUGUUCUGAAAACAAAAAGUGACUGCAAAGUUAUCCCUUUCACCUAUCUUCUUCCAUUAGGACAUUUGUUCUAACUCCACAAAUAUGUGUAUAAAAGCUUGAACCCAUCAGCAAGCUUCUUCACAAAAACCCAAAACAUAAGAUUUUUGUUUACUAGAAAAAAGAUGGGUUUCAACUUCAUCUCUCUCCUUUUUCUUCCACUUCUAUCAGUCACAAUCUUGUCGGGACUCGAGCAGGCUUUGGCUUCCGACAACACACUCCUCAAGAACACCAACCACCGCAACAGCACGGCGGACGGUGGGAUGUCGUCGCUGAGAGGGAAGAAGCAGAGGAGUGGAUGUAACUUGUUCCAAGGCCGAUGGGUCUUCGAUGCUUCUUAUCCUUUCUAUGAUUCGUUCUCGUGUCCAUUCAUCGACGGCGAGUUUGACUGCCUCAAGUUCGGUCGACCAGACAAACAGUUCCUCAAGUACUCAUGGCAACCUGAAUCUUGCACCAUCCCAAGGUUUCUAUUUAACUAUUCCCUUAUAUGUCCAACGUUUUUAACGAAACAAUAAAAUUGAGCUAACCAUAUAGUUAACAAAAAUUUGAUUGGUGGGUAUGUAUAAAAUUUCAUUCCAUGCAUUGUUUAUAA
rnacentral:lncRNA from 1 species